rnacentral:rRNA from 1 species
GUGAGGAAUUUUGCGCAAUGGGGGCAACCCUGACGCAGCAACGCCGCGUGAGUGAAGAAGGCCUUUGGGUCGUAAAGCUCUGUCAACCGGGAAGAAGUUACUGUUAUCCAAUAGGUGGCAGUAUUGACGGUACCGGUGAAGGAAGCAUCGGCUAACUCCGUGCCAGCAGCCGCGGUAAUACGGGGGAUGCAAGCGUUAUUCGGAAUUAUUGGGCGUAAAGGGCGCGUAGGCGGUUUUGUCGGUCAGAUGUGAAAGCCCGGGGCUCAACCCCGGACGUGCAUUUGAAACAGCAAGACUUGAGUACGGGAGAGGAAAGCGGAAUUCCUGGUGUAGAGGUGAAAUUCGUAGAUAUCAGGAGGAACACCGAUGGCGAAGGCAGCUUUCUGGACCGAUACUGACGCUGAGGCGCGAAGGCGUGGGUAGCGAACAGGAUUAGAAACCCUGGUAGUCC